rnacentral:rRNA from 1 species
UGGGGAAUAUUGCACAAUGGGCGCAAGCCUGAUGCAGCCAUGCCGCGUGUGUGAAGAAGGCCUUCGGGUUGUAAAGCACUUUCAGCGAGGAGGAAGGUGGUGAACUUAAUACGUUCAUCAAUUGACGUUACUCGCAGAAGAAGCACCGGCUAACUCCGUGCCAGCAGCCGCGGUAAUACGGAGGGUGCAAGCGUUAAUCGGAAUUACUGGGCGUAAAGCGCACGCAGGCGGUUUGUUAAGUCAGAUGUGAAAUCCCCGGGCUCAACCUGGGAACUGCAUUUGAAACUGGCAAGCUAGAGUCUCGUAGAGGGGGGUAGAAUUCCAGGUGUAGCGGUGAAAUGCGUAGAGAUCUGGAGGAAUACCGGUGGCGAAGGCGGCCCCCUGGACGAAGACUGACGCUCAGGUGCGAAAGCGUGGGGAGCAAACAGAUUAGNUACCCUGGUAGUCCACGCUGUAAACGAUGUCGAUUUUGGAGGUUGUGCCCUUGAGGCGUGGCUUCCGGAGCUAACGCGUUAAAGUCGACCGCC